UGGGGAAUAUUGGACAAUGGGCGCAAGCCUGAUCCAGCCAUGCCGCGUGAGUGAUGAAGGCCUUAGGGUUGUAAAGCUCUUUCACCCACGACGAUAAUGACGGUAGUGGGAGAAGAAGCCCCGGCUAACUUCGUGCCAGCAGCCGCGGUAAUACGAAGGGGGCUAGCGUUGCUCGGAAUCACUGGGCGUAAAGGGCGCGUAGGCGGCCGAUCAAGUCAGGGGUGAAAGCCUGUGGCUCAACCACAGAAUUGCUUGAUACNUGUUCGGCUCGAGACCGGAAGAGGUUGGUGGAACUGCGAGUGUAGAGGUGAAAUUCGUAGAUAUUCGCAAGAACACCAGUGGCGAAGGCGGCCAACUGGNCCGGUUCCGACGCUGAGGCGCGAAAAGCGUGGGGAGCAAAACAGGAUUAGAUACCCUGGUAGUCCACGCCGUAAACGAUGAAUGCAGCCGUUGGGCAGCUUGCUGCUCAGUGGCGCAGCUAACGCUUUAAGCAUUCCGCCUGGGGAGUACGGUCGCAAGAUU
rnacentral:rRNA from 1 species